UACCUUUCUUAUCUCCUUGUCUUCCUUAAAUCUCUUCCUAGGCCCUUGUCCUAAAAUUGAACUUGUCUAUACUACUUUUUGACUUAUCCUAAUAAGAGAAGAAAGAGACUAAUUGGACAAUAGAGAGAGGGUGUGAGAAAGAAGAGAUAGAAUUAGAAAUCUGAAUGAACAAAUCUCCGACACAACCCCCCUUAAAUAGUUAGCGACCGGAUGCAUUCAGAUUUGACUCGCACCAACUCUACACGUCAUCUAGUGCCCAUCCAGAUUAUCUCAUACUCCAAGUUAAAAUCCCGUGCCCAUCUGAAAGCAUUUGACACAUGACAAACAUCGAAAAAAGAAUUCGAGAGAUGCUUCGCACAAAAAGACUCUUCAGAAUAAUUUUUUCGAUGUUUCUUUGAUAUGUCACGAGGCUUCACUGGGCACAAUUUUUCUCCACUACUCAUCAGCAAU
rnacentral:lncRNA from 1 species